GGGGGGGGGUCGUUUUAUUGUUCGUUUAAAACCGUAUCGCAAAACGUAUGCAGUUGUUACUUACACAUUUAAAGCAUAAAUAAUGGCAGCUUUUAUCUGUUCUAUCAUGUAGACUUUGAAAUCCCAUUUUGUUCUUGGAUAGCUGCUUGGAAGGUUUUUAUGGGCCGACAGCCAAGCCCAAACCUGGCUUUUUGGGAAAGGAUGGGAAGAAGGAGAGAGGCCUCACGCAGCUCCAGCUGUCUGCCGUUGUGACUCAGAGAUAAGGCUUUUUCAAUACGACAACUUCCUAAUGUCCGAAGCGUGAGUGGCUUGGGGACACCAUAAAGGGAAAAUAUCCCGCUGCAAUUUAUUACGGUCAGGUCAAUUAAAUAGGAUCGGAGCAUCAUCAUCUUGUUUAUUUCCAUCACGGAUCGGUGGAGAUUAGGGGGGUGGGGAAAGUCUUUGUGGCCUCAACUCCUGCUUCCCUCUGUCAGAGAGGGAUCCGUAGAGACGUGGUUGCCAUCCACGUCAGCACCAGGUUCUCCACACGGGCAGGCCGUUGCGUGUAAAUUGGUUAAUAUUCUAUUGUUCAUGGUCUGCCUUUGAUAAAGGAAGACGUUCAGGAAAGGGACUGGAUCGCUCCGUAAAUAGCAUGAUCUGCGUCUUGGCUUUGUCCUGUGAAGUUCCUGCCAGAGACGGUUGGAGUCUCCGUGUUUGUUCAAUAGGGCUGUUUGUUUCUUGGGACUCGGCUACGUCCAGAGAGAGGUUGCGCUUUCUUCGGAGGACUGGGAACCGCAGCCCAAACACAGAGCUCUGUGGCUGUGACCGUCCAGAGGACACCAUUGAGGAGUAA
ensembl:lncRNA